GCAGCCACAUCUGCAGGACUGAAAAAUCUUUCUCGCCUCCUGCCUUAAAUUUUGAAACCAGCUGAACAACUCUCGCUCCUUAAUUUUCAGUGUUGUCCGUGAGGGGGAUCUUCACAAGAGACUGCUCUUCACAGUGUGGAACUGUGACUCCACAAAAAGGAUGCGUGGAUUGCUGGGAUGCAUGAGCUUUGGUGUUCGCUCCCUUUUGGACUCUGACAAAGAGGUUCAUGGAUGGUACUACCUACUUGGGGAAGAGCUUGGGAGGAAGAAGCAUCUUAAAGUGCCCA
rnacentral:lncRNA from 1 species